rnacentral:tRNA from 2 species
GGCGCGAUAGCAAAGCGGCUAUGCAGCGGAUUGCAAAUCCGUAUAGAGCGGUUCGACUCCGCUUCGCGCCUCCA